ACUAUUUAGCAUCUGAAACUGGGAUAAAGUUUCCAAAAAAAUUGAAGGAAAAAACUUCCUGCGUGAGGAGAAGCGUGCCAGCCUCCAGUUUGAAACCAGUUUCUCCUAAAGCAAGACGCGCAGAGAGUGAGACGUCUUGAAAUUGUUCCCCUCAUCUUUACGGAUAUCUAUACAUUUUUGUAACCACGGCUUCAAAGGUGGACAACGUUUUUUCCGCUUUAUCCCUGCAUUUCUUCAAGAAAGAAAUGGAAGAGGGCUCCAGUUCUCCGGUCUCCCCUGUGGAUAGUCUGGUGACCAGCGAGGAGGAGCUGGACAGACAGCAGAAACGCAGGAAGAGGAGAAACAGUAAAAAGUCCAGCGAGGACAGCAGCGGCAGCAGCCCGGGUCCGGUGAAACGGGGGAAAAAGCCGAGUCCGAGCAGCACUCAGUCUUAUGAGGAGCUGCAGAACCAGCGGGUCCUGGCCAACGUCCGGGAGAGGCAACGGACUCAGUCUCUGAACGAGGCCUUUGCGUCUUUGCGCAAAAUUAUCCCCACGCUGCCGUCGGACAAACUCAGCAAGAUACAGACGCUGAAGCUCGCCUCCAGAUACAUUGACUUUCUCUGUCAGGUGCUGCAGAGCGACGAGAUGGACAACAAGAUGUCCAGCUGCAGCUACGUUGCGCACGAAAGACUCAGUUACGCGUUCUCCGUGUGGAGGAUGGAGGGUGCUUGGUCUAUGUCAGCAUCUCACUAGCACCCAGAGACCUCCACUCACAAUGCCAAAGCGGUGGGUACCACAAACUGAAGCAAAGAAAUCUCACAUUAACAGUAUCCGUAGCCUUAGAGGUAGCAGACCUCGAAGAAAUGGGGUUUUAUUCAUGAAGGGUGGAUAAAUAAGUGACUUCAUAAGGAAAUUACUGACAUAAACAGAGACAUAUUAAACAGUUAAGGAACAGUAUGAUGAUGGAGGCUGACAUACAUGUAUAUGAGGCAGCUUCUCAUGUUAUGAUCUGUAUACUGUGCAAGUGUCUUGGUUUUGGAGGAUGUAACUUACAGCCUGCUGCCACAUUUUGAUGCGCACAAUAAAUAUUCCAAGCAAUCAGAUUACAAAGCAAAGCUGCGGCCAGAUGUUGAGAUGAUUGCCGAAACGUUCGUGUGCAUCAGCUGUGCACCGAAAUUCAAAUUCACGUGUUCGAAUGCGGCCGUUGCCGUGCUGCGUUUGUUCUGUGUGAGACGGAUUUCUCACCGAGGCCUCAGCAUCUUUCCAGCGCCCGGCUGUGCGUCUGCAUCUGGAUGCUGCUGUGCGCAAGGCCUGGGUGACCCACAGACAACUGCUCCAUCAGUUUACUUGUCGAUACAUUCAAGAUCCCACAAGCAUCCAGUCAAACCUAAACGCCUAAGUCCAGUCCGGAAUGUGGAAAAAGGAACACUGUAUUUAUUUUUGAGAGAAGGAGUAGGCGCAGGGAAGUGGGCGGAUUAAUACAAAUAAUAGUUUUGGAACAUUUUCACAUGAAGAAUAUGUCUUGACCAAAAAGGACAUCAAGUCCGUUCUAUUUUUGCCCAGAACUGACUUUUGCAGUUAAUCCUUAUUCAGCCCUUCUUAACAGUAUUUCGUAAUGAGUGGGGUAAAAAAAAAAAAGUACCGGGGCGCACCAAAACGCAGCUGUAGUGCCACCACGGGUAAUUUAUAUCCACAAUAGAGAGCUUUCCUGUGUGGAGACCGCAGGAAUGGGCAGCUCGGCUGGACAUGAAAGUUCAAGCCAGUGAAAGACAAUAAAAACAGAGGCCAGUAUUAACGAGCAGGCAGGAUUUGGUCACGUUAUUUUGCAGAUUUGCAGCCUGGUUCGCUCGUGUCGUGAGAGCCCACGUCAAUGACGCAGUGACCCCAAAAAGUUAAGAGCCGUUCAGAGACUUGACAGCUGAGAGGAAACUUUUCUUGGAGUGGUUGUUUUGUUUCACCUUCUGACGGCUGGGAUUUUAGUGAAGAACGCCAUCAUGACCACAUGACAGCAUCUUGUCAGUUUCAGGAAACACCCCACUUGUCCUUUUUGAGUCCGCUUGGAACAUUUGACAGAUGCUCUUAUGUAAUAACUGAACUGACGCCUCACCAAUAACUUUUCAAUACCAAUGUAACAAAAUAAAGACUGUUUACUUCUACAAAGUAUGAAGACCAAAGGGAUUAUUGAAGAACCCAUCGACCUCAAAGGCAUGGCGGAGAGACGUAAUGUGACCCACAACUACAAACUCUUGGGAGUGUGUGUGUGUGUGUGUGUGUGUGUGUGUGUGUGUGUGUGCGCGCGCGUGCAGAUUCAUCACACUGCUUCUGACUGUCUGGAGCUGUUUGUGGCAGAGAGGGAAAAAGACAGACCUGCAAUGUGUCGAGGCCAAAGAUGUACGGCCUGUAUUUCAGCAAAGCCAUCCUAACCGUCUUUAGAAGGAUAUAUAUUUUGUUUUUCAAAGACUUUAAAGCAAAGUAUAAAUAUAUAUAAAUGAAUGCAUAUUGUACAUACUUGUGUAAGUACGCCUAUAGCCUGUCAAGGGACCAAUGCAAUUUAGAGUCAUUUGCUGCAUGGAUUUAUCUCCCCGACUUUCUUUAGCAAGUCUCCAAACUCCGUCCAAUGUACAUUUUUGUUUUUGCUUAUUUAUUAAAACACAUAUUUUUGAACGAAA